GGCCUGGUGGUGUAGUAGUAACACAUCUCUUGUAUAUAUAAGUAGUGCGAAAAAUAGUUUAUUUCUGAGGAAGUUCCCUGUUCAACUCAGGGUCAGGCCA